UUCUAUUUCAAAUUGAUCCUUGGCAUUAAAUUGCUUUAUUGAUUAUUUUUCUCAUCAAAAAUCAAUUACAAUUUUUACGUAUGCAUAGCUAUAGCGAAAAAAAAAAAAAUCAGAAAUCCACCACUCAACCGGUAACCCUCACAACAUAGCCGCCCUCAAAUUCGAAAAGAGAGCACCAGCUGAAAUACUUUUCGAUGCGUUUUGUCCUAAAAGUAGACGACAAAAGCAAAUAACCCGAGUGGAAACAUUCAUAUUGAAUUUAACGAGAACAAAAUGGAGUAUACAUGAGAUAUUUUUUAACAAUCAUCUAACGAUUCCUACAAUAUUUUACACUUGCUCAAUUUUAUUGUUAUUAUUUAAAAGCAAUUACUUUCAAAUGUCAAUAAUAAUGUAACUAAUAUAUAUAUUUAAAUAUGCACUAUGGUCCAUGUGGAGGAAAUCUCAUGCGACAGGACGCCAUUUCAAUGGUAUUGCACAAGCACACAUUUCUCUUUCGCACCAAUAUUUCGACCAUUAGUAUACGAUGAAUAAGCAUUUCAAUUGUAGCAUUCAACCCCAAAAAUAAAAUAUUGGAUCUUGGUACGAUAGUCACACACUAAAAACCAUUUAAACUCUACACAUCAAUCAUGUAAUUAUUCAAAAUUUAAAAUGUUUAACUUAACACACAUUUGGUUCACUAAUUUAGGUAAUUUAACACCAGUAUUUUACAAAUAAAUUGCUGAAAAACGCUUAGCAAAAACACCGUACCUGCUAUUGUGCCGUCUUCUUCUAAAGAAAAUCUGUGUUGCCACUCUUCUUUAAUAUUACUGAAAUAUGAACCACAGUUGAUAUACAAAAACAGUGGACAGUAAAUAAAAGAAAACGGAGCACUAACAGGCCGACGUGAUUACAACGGAAACUACAUAAUUCACGUAACCAUAUACAUAAGUUUAAUUAUUUAGUAGAAUACGCAUAUAUUUCUGAGAUGAGCUCCAUAGCAAUCAACGUUUAGAAAUAUGAACUUAAAUUCGAAUAUGCAUAGAAAAUCUAUUUUUCGACCUCUCUUUGUUUUACAGUACAUAGUUGGAAAUCGAAACCAAAAAAGUAUAGUACAUGUAUAUGUUAGAGCGAAUCCUUUCCGUGCUUCUCAGAUAUUUCAUAUAUCGUUAUGUUACUUUAAUCUUAACAGUUUAGAUAAACUAGCAAUGCCAACAUAGUACUAAUAUGUAUUGUAGAAAUAAGUAAUAAAAAUAGCGGCAGCUAAUCGUCAAUGCCUAAAAUUCUGAGAGUAGCCCAACUUUUUGCUUCGUUUUGCUUUGCUUCGCUUUUAUGAGAAUGUAAUCUAUCAACGCAUUCAAAUGCUUACUAUGGAGUCGCUCGAGUUAUACGCGAAUGAAUUUCUACCAUUACACCAAUGCAUUCGCUAGUUAUAUAUAUUCAGCCAAAAGCAAAUUGUUGUAAAAAUAUGUUUGUUUGAUGUCAAUCCACAAUUAAGGUCAUUCAUUCAUAUACUACGUUUUACGAAAAGUGUUCACUUUCUAGAGGUAAAUAUUUUCAUAGACUAAACGCAGAGAACGUAUAUCAUACGUAUUUUACGUUCUCUGCUAAACGUUUUCUUAAUCACGUUGGCUCAGAAAACAUAUUAAAUGGCUACACUGUUGCAUACAGCUGAUCAGUUGUCAAAAUAUUCUUAUAUUCGAUUACAUUAAUCGCCCGUGUUUUCGUAACAUUCAUCUUAAUCUAGUUUACAAGUUUAAAUAUAACUUUAUUGUAUAUUAAUUGUAAGAACUGAAAACUAAAAAGAUGUCAUUAUGUCCAUCAAGUGGUAUAGGGCGCUACUAUAAACAUUCUGCCAAAAUUAUCCGCUUUGUCCGAUUGGGUUGCACAAAUCGUCCUUUCUACCAUGUUGUCGUUAUGGAGCGUCGAAAAAAUCAACACCAGCCAGUAAUAGAACAAGUUGGUACUUAUGAUCCAAUGCCAAAUCAGACAAAUGAACGUUUAGUUUCGUUUAAUUUUGAACGUAUCCGCUAUUGGUUGGGUCGAGGUGCUCACCUGUCCACACCAACAGCAGAACUAUUGGGUAUUGCUGGCUUUUUGCCCAUUCAUCCGCGCACUUAUAUGACCGCCUGGCGAAACAGGCAAAAAGUCGCCGCAGAUGGAAUAAAUGAAGUAAAGGAUUCUGUUGAAGCGUAAAAAAUAUUAUUUAUUCGUCAUGUCCGAUAAAAUAAAAAAAAUGCUAAAAUGUA